rnacentral:rRNA from 1 species
UACGGGGGGGGCAAGCGUUGUUCGGAAUUACUGGGCGUAAAGGGCUCGUAGGCGGCCAACUAAGUCAGACGUGAAAUCCCUCGGCUUAACCGGGGAACUGCGUCUGAUACUGGAUGGCUUGAGUUUGGGAGAGGGAUGCGGAAUUCCAGGUGUAGCGGUGAAAUGCGUAGAUAUCUGGAGGAACACCGGUGGCGAAGGCGGCAUCCUGGACCAAUACUGACGCUGAGCAGCGAAAGCCAGGGGAGCAAACGGG